rnacentral:rRNA from 1 species
AGUGAACGCUGGCGGUAGGCCUAACACAUGCAAGUCGAACGGCAGCACAGUAAGGGCUUGCUCUUACGGGUGGCGAGUGGCGGACGGGUGAGGAAUACAUCGGAAUCUACUUUUUCGUGGGGGAUAACGUAGGGAAACUUACGCUAAUACCGCAUACGACCUACGGGUGAAAGCAGGGGAUCUUCGGACCUUGCGCGAUUGAAUGAGCCGAUGUCGGAUUAGCUAGUUGGCGGGGUAAAGGCCCACCAAGGUGACGAUCCGUAGCUGGUCUGAGAGGAUGAUCAGCCACACUGGAACUGAGACACGGUCCAGACUCCUACGGGAGGCAGCAGUGGGGAAUAUUGGACAAUGGGCGCAAGCCUGAUCCAGCCAUACCGCGUGGGUGAAGAAGGCCUUCGGGUUGUAAAGCCCUUUUGUUGGGAAAGAAAAGCAGCAGGUUAAUACCCCGCUGUUCUGACGGUACCCAAAGAAUAAGCACCGGCUAACUUCGUG